UCACAGCAUGUGGAAGUUCCCAGGCCAGGAUCAAACCUGUGCCCCAGCAGUGACAAUGCCAGACUCUUAACUCUCUGCGCCACAAGAGAACUUGAAAAACACUAUUUUGUUGUUGGUGGUCUCUGGCUUUUAAAAAUUGCUUUGAAUGAGAUAAUAUGAUCCAUGUAAAAUCAAAUUUAAAAUAUUUCUUAACCUGUGCUCUGUGAUCUAAUGUGGUCAAUGUUUUUUAUCUUCCAAUUGUCCUUAAAAAAAAUAAGUUAAUUUUAUAUGUAUUUUUAACAUGUUCAUAGUAUGUUUAUUACCUAAAGCUCAUUAAUUGUGUUCAAAUAUUAUAUACUCUUACUGAUUAUCCUGCCUAUUAAAUCACUCUUCAAACAAUGAUAAAAAAUCUCCCAUGAUUUUGUAAAAUUCUUGUCGUCUUUUGCUUUAUAUACUAUUAGGCUAUGUUUGUAGAGACUAAGCAGGUUUAGCAUUAUGUGUCUUCCUGAUGAGUUGUUUUUCAUAAAACUACCCUCUUUAUCACUAAUAAUGCUUUUUUUCCUUAAAGUCAAUUUAGUAUUAACAUAUCUUCUUCAGAUUCCUUUUUUUUUUAAUUUUCAAUGCUUUAGAAAUAAUCACACUUAUGAAAGUAGGAAGAUGAUGUAACAGGUUUCAAUACAUGGACAAUCUUAUUUCACCUGUAUCAUCUGUAAUGAGAUUUUCUGUUUUAUCUUGAGUCAGUUUUGGUAGUUUGUAUGUUUUUCAGAAUUUAUCCGUUUUACCUCGAUUAUCUAAUUUGUUGGUGUACAGUUGUUCACGGUAUUCUCUUAUACUCCUUUUAAUUUCUGUAAAGUUGGCAAUAAUGUCCUCACUUUCUGAUUUUAAUUGUUUGUGUCUUCUCUCAUUUUUCUUACUGAGCCUAACUAAAAGUUUGUCAAUGUUACUAAUAUUUUCAGGUAUUUAGUUUUGUUGAUUCUCUAUAUUACUUUUUACCGUCUAUUUAUGCAAUAAUCUCUAUUUUUUCCCUCCUUCUGUAGCUUUAGUUUUCUUUUUCUAUUUCUUUAUACUGUAAAGUUACACUGUUGAUGAUUUGAGCUUUAAAAAAAAAAAUGUAGGCAUUUACAGCUGGAAAUUUCCCUCUAACCUUUUCUUCUCCUGGAGCCACUGUUGUUAUGUUUAAUUUUCCUUUUCAUUUACCUUAAAGUUUUUUCAAAUUUCCCUAGUGAUUUCUUCUUUUACCCAUUGGUUGUUAAGGAAGAUGUUUCUCAAUUUCCCUGUAUUUACUUAAUUUCCAGUUUUGCUUCUGUUAUUGAUUUCUAACUUCGUUCCCUCUUGAUAACAAAAGGUACUUUGUAUGAUUUCAGCCUUUUAAAAUUUAUGAGAAAAAUUUUAUGUCCUAAUGUAUGGUCUGUCCUAGAAAACAUUCCAUAGGCACUUGAUAACAGUGUGUAUUCUGCUGAAGUUGUUGGAAUGUUUUAUAUGUCUAUAAGUCUGGUUAGUUUAUAGUAUCAUGUAGUUUAUAGUACAGUAUGACCUUAUUUUCUUAUUGGUUAUUUCUACCUAGAUGAAGUACUGAGAUUUCCCACAUAUCUCUUUACCCUAUACAUAAACUCAGCUGUUACCAGCAUCACUCACCAGAGUGGUGUGUUUGUUAUAACUGAUGAAGUCCAUAGUUUGCCUGGUGGUGUACAUUCUGUGGGUUUGGACAGAUGCAUAAUGCCAUGUAUGCCUUAGAAGAUCAUAAAGACUAUUUUCACUGCUUUAAAAGUCCUCUGUGCACCAUCUCUUCACUGUUCCCUGCACCCACCAGCCUCUAGCAACUACUGAUCUUUUUUUUACUCUCUUCUAGUUUUAGCCACUCUUAUAGGUGUGUAGUCGUAUCUCAUUGUUUUAAUUUUCAUUUCCUUGAUGAUAUAUAUACUGAUUUGCCCUCUGUAUAUCUUCUUUGUUUUGUGUUUUAUAUUUAGGUUUAUGAUCCAUUUUGAGUCAAGUCGUGUGCAGAGUAGUACAAGGCCUGUAUCUAGAUUCUUCUCCCCCACCCCCAGCAUGUGGAUGACCAGUUGUUCCAGCACCAUUUGUUAAAAAGACUGUAUUUGCUUUAUUGUAUUACCUUUGCUCCUUUGUCAGAUCAAUUGACUUUUAUUUAUGUGGGUCUGUUUCAGGGCUCUCUGUGUGAAGACAUAUCACAAUGUGGUUUUGGUUUGCAUUUCCUAAUGAUUAAUGGUGGUGAGCAUCUUUUCAUAUGCUUAUUCACCAUUUGUAUAUCUUCUUUGGAGAAAUGCCUAACAAGUUCUUUGCCCAUUUUUAAUUGGAUUUUUUAUUGUUGUUUAGUUGUAGGAGUUCUUUAUAUAUUCUGGAUUUUAAUCCCUUAUAAGAUACGUGACUUGGUAAUGUUUUCUCUUUCUGGGAGUUUUCUUUUUACUUUGUUGAUAGUAUCCUUUGAUGAACACAAAUUUUAAUAUUUAUGAAAUGCUAUUUAUAUUUUCCUUUGUUGUUCUUGCUUUGUGUGUCCUAACAAGUCAUUGUGAAAUCCAGUGGCAUAGAGUUUUCCCCUCUCUGUUUUCUUUUAGGAAUUUUAUAGUUUUAGGGCUUGCAUUUAGGUCUUUGACUCAUUUUGAAUUAAUUUUUGUAUAUGGUAUAAGUUAAGAUCCAACUUUAUUCUUUUGCAUGUGGAUAUCCAAUUUUCCCACCACCAUUUGUUGAAAGACUGUCUUUUUUCCACUGAAAGGUCUUGGCACCCUUGUUGAAAAUCAUUUAACCAUAUAUACAAAAGUUUAUUUCCUGGCUUUCUGUUCUGUUCCAUUGAUCUUUAUGUUUGUAUUAUGCCAGUACCACACUGUUUUGAUUACCUUUACUUUAUAGAAAAUUUUAAAAUCAGGAAGUUUGAGACCUACAACUUUUUUCUUUUAAAAGAAUGUUUUGGCUAUUCAGAGUCCAUUGAGAUUUUAUGUGAAUUCUAGUGUUGCUAAUAUAAUAUGAAUUUUUGGCUUAUAUUGGCACAUAGCUUUACUGUUAGCAUAUAAAUGAAACACUGUCAUUUAUUUGAUAACUACUUAGAGAAUUUUCAGUUUUGCAAGGAUCCUGUUAAUUAUGACUGCAUGAUGAGACAGAGAAUUUUGAAUGAUUUCCUUUUCAUUUAUUUAAUAGAACAAAUAUUAAAUUGACUGGAUAUUUUGGAGCACUGUUGUGGUUACUUAGCCUUUGGAUACUCCAAAGUUCUGGGUGUCAGAAUCCUGUGCUCAAGUUGUAAGUUAUCAAGCCCUUGGGGUACUGAGGGAAUGCAGUUGGCUUCCAUACAGGCUUGUAGAUCACGGCCAUGUGUUUUAUACAUUACAUCUGUGAAGAAGCAGAUUUGAGGAGGUUUAACUGUUAUGCUGUAUGAAUAAAUGACAUACUGACUCUAGAAUUACUGUAAUAGCACAGCUUUAAAACUGUAAAGCCAGCUAAUUUCUAAAGGUGAACUCCAGGUGAAACUUAAAAGAUCACUUUGAUAUUUGUUUUAGCUAGAUGAGAGAGGCUGUAGCAGAAACAGCAGAGAGAUAGCCUUAGGGAAUUGGCUCAGGCCAGGUCAGCCAUUUGUUAGGUUUGUCAGGCCUAAGGCAAGGGGGAACUGCUAAAGAGUUUGAAGCAGAGGAGUGACAUCGUUCAUUCAUUCAACAAAUAUAUAGUAAGUACCUAACUAGGGGCCGGGGUCAUCAGUGAAUAAAGCAGAAAUCCCUGCUCUUGAGAAUCCAUGUAAAUUUUAUUAAGAUGACUCUGAUCCCAAUGUCCAGGGAGUCAAGGCUGGAGGCAGGGAGAACAAAGAAAAGCCAUCCAUGGAGAAUAUGAUGAUCAUUGAAAUUAUAGAUGGUGCCAGUGGGUAUGGAGAGAGAUUUUCUUUGUAGAAUUAACAGGCCUUGCUGUUAAUGUGGUCAGAGUGAGAGAGCAUGAGAAACAUAUCACACCUCUAAUGUGGGAAAUUAAAAAGCUUUGACAGCAUUUUAGAAAGAUUUUCCUGAGCCUGAUUUUCUGUUAAGUGAGUGUGAGAAGCCUCUGAGAUAUCCGGAGGGAAAUGCUGAGUAUGUGUUAUCCAUAUGGUGGCAGCUUUGGUUGGGGAAGGAGACACGGAAGUAAGUAGUGCCAAAUGUCAUGGUCUUAGAAAAGGAAACGGGAUUUAUAGUGUAAGAAGAGCAUAGGGGUACUAGAGUCACUAGAGAUGCUCACACAUAAUCAGGUUCUUCCCUUUUGGGCCAUUUGGUAUGAUUGCAUUUCCCUGUUCACUUGGAUGUUGAGUGUGGUCAUGUGGCUUCUUUGGCCAAUGGAAGGUAAACAGAAAUUUUAGGUGAUACCUCCAGGCAGGAGCUUUAAGUUUCCAUGUCCAAGAUGAUUGUAGGAGCGUCAUUGAGAUAAAGCCUUCAUUGGCUUGGGUGCCUGAGUGAAACUGCGGCAAAACCCAUUUGACCUGCUUUGGUCACAUAAUAGGAGAAAAAAGUACUUCUGCGGUGUUGGGCCACUGAGACUUUAGAGUUAUUUGUAACUUUUUAUAUCCCAAAUGGUCCAGAAGGAAACUUUUACUGGGGAAGUUGGAAAGAAAACCAUACAUGUUAUGAAAUGGAAAAGCAUUUGGUAAAAUCACCUUUUGUGGUAACAUGAGGCAGAUCAUGUACAUAAUGAACCUGUAACUCUAAAGUUAGAAAACAGAACUUUGGUAGCAUGUUGGUGUGUUGGUGGCUGUGGCUGCAUCUAGAAAAAGUAACAGGAAAGAGAUGCAAGUGCUUCUGAACCCCCAAUCAGCAAAAAUAAAUAAAUAAAACUUAGAGACAAAGGCAAAUUAAAUCACAUUCUCGGGAGAAGAUCAAAUCCGUGGUAUGGUCGUCACUCCCAUUGUCAAUAUGUCUGAAUAGACUAAACUGGUUUAGGAUAAACAUUUAGCUAAGGGUUGGAUGCCCAAUGAGUAUUUUUAAAAGAAGAUGGCUGAGAGAAUAGGAGUUAAAAUGUGGCCUUUCCACCCAAAGCACGAAGGCAAAAAGUACACAAUCAAUUAGGGAGAGAGAAACAGAGAGGAACAUGAAGGGAGUAAAUCCACUUAUAGCAAAUCUAAGAUGUAUGUCUAGAAAAGAGGUAGAGGUAUGGCUAUUGCCACAUGGCACCAAAUUAAACCAAUUUUUUUUUUUUAAUCUGUCAAAGAUACUUUGCCUGAAGAGUCUGUGACUGUUUGAGGGUUAAAAUAACCCUUAGGUCUCUACCUUUUGUGAGUCAAUGCCUAUAGCACAUGUGGCAUAGAAGUUACUGGAAAAAGUAGAACCCCAGAAUGGAGUCAAGGUAUAUAGUUCCAAAAAAUGUCAUGACCUUGCUUAUUUUUUUUUUUAAAGAAGCAACACGGUUUAAAAUCUUAUUUUCUUGUUUUCUCCACAUGUCUAUUUGGGGUUUAUUCCUGAAACGCAAGGAUGGUUAAACAUUUGAAAAUCAAUGUCAUAUGCUCCAUUAACAGAAAGAUUUUUUAAAGACAGUGUGAUCAUCCUAGUUGAUGCAGAAAAAGCUUUUGAAAAACUUCAGCACCGUUUCAUGAUUAAAAACAUUCAGCAAACUAGAAGAAAACCUCCUCAGCAUUAUAAAGGCCAUGUGUGACAAACCUACAGGCAACGUUACUCUUGGUAGUAAAAUUCUGAAAGCUGUCUCUCAAAGAUUAGCAACAAGAUAAGUAUGCCCACAUUCACCACACUUUUGAAGUGCUGGAAAUUCUAGCCAACUAGUCAAGGAAAUGAAAUAAAAAUCAUCCAAGUU
rnacentral:lncRNA from 1 species